UACGGAGGAUCCGAGCGUUAUCCGGACAUAUUGGGUUUAAAGGGUCCGUAGGCGGGAUAAUAAGUCAGCGGUGAAAGUCUGUGGCUCAACCAUAGAAUUGCAAUUGAUACUGUUGUUCUUGAGUGCUUAUGAAGUGGUUAGAAUAUGUAGUGUAGCGGUGAAAUGCAUAGAUAUUACAUAGAAUACCGAUUGCGUAGGCAGAUCACUAAUAAUAUACUGACGCUGAUGGACGAAAGCGUAGGUAGCGAACAGG
rnacentral:misc_RNA from 1 species